GAUGAACGCUGGCGGCGUGCCUAAUACAUGCAAGUCGAGCGGACAGACGAUGAGCUUGCGCCGCGGACGUUAGCGGCGGACGGGUGAGUAACACGUGGAUAACCUACCUAUAAGACUGGGAUAACUUCGGGAAACCGGAGCUAAUACCGGAGAAUAUCUUGAACCGCAUGGUGCAAUGGUGAAAGACGGUGUUGCUGUCACUUAUAGAUGGAUCCGCGCCGCAUUAGCUAGUUGGUAAGGUAACGGAUUACCAAGGCAACGAUGCGUAGCCGACCUGAGAGGGUGAUAGGCCACCCGAGAACUGGGACACGGUCAAUACUCCUAAGAGAGGCAGCAGUAGGCAACGUUACGCAAUGGGCGGAAGCCUGACGCAGCAACGCCGAGCCAGUGAUGAAGGUCUUCGGAUCGUAAAACUCUGUUAUUAGGGAAGAACCAAUGUCUAAGUAACUAUGCACGUCUUGACGGUACCUAAUCAGAAAGCCCCGGCUAACUACGUG
rnacentral:rRNA from 1 species